AUUAAUUCGAUGCAACGCGAAAAACCUUACCCACCCUUGACAUGCCACUAACGAAGCAGAGAUGCAUUAGGUGCUCGAAAGAGAAAGUGGACACAGGUGCUGCAUGGCUGUCGUCAGCUCGUGUCGUGAGAUGUUGGGUUAAGUCCCGCAACGAGCGCAACCCUCAUCCUUAGUUGCCAUCAGUUCGGCUGGGCACUCUAAGGAAACUGCCGGUGACAAGCCGGAGGAAGGUGGGGAUGACGUCAAGUCCUCAUGGCCCUUAUGGGUAGGGCUUCACACGUCAUACAAUGGUGCAUACAGAGGGUUGCCAAGCCGCGAGGUGGAGCUAAUCCCAGAAAAUGCAUCGUAGUCCGGAUCGUAGUCUGCAACUCGACUACGUGAAGCUGGAAUCGCUAGUAAUCGCGGAUCAGCAUGCCG
rnacentral:rRNA from 1 species